rnacentral:rRNA from 1 species
GACGAACGCUGGCGGCGUGCUUAACACAUGCAAGUCGAACGAAGUGGCGAACGGGUGAGUAACGCGUAAUCAACCUGCCCUUCAGAGGGGGACAACAGUGGGAAACGACUGCUAAUACCGCAUACAGAAGGAGGGGAGUGCGUCUGAGUAGCUAGUUGGAGGGGUAACGGCCCACCAAGGCGAUGAACAGUAGCCGGUCUGAGCUGAUUGACGGCCACAUUGGGACUGAGCCACCGCCCAGUCUCCUACGGGAGGCAGCAGUUGGGCAUCUUCCGCAAUGGACGCAAGUCUGACUGCGCAACGCCGCGUGAGUGAUGACGGCCUUCGGGUUGUAAAGCUCUGUUAAUCGGGACGCGGUACCGGAAUAGAAAGCCACGGCUAACUACGUGCCAGCAGCCGCGGUAAUAC